GUCUGGGUGGCUCAGUCAGUUGAGCAUCUGACUUUGGCUCAGGUUACGAUUUCACAGUUCACGGGUUCAAGUCCCGCGUCGGGCU
rnacentral:tRNA from 1 species